rnacentral:rRNA from 1 species
UACGUAGGGUGCGAGCGUUGUCCGGAAUUAUUGGGCGUAAAGAGCGCGUAGGCGGUCCGAUAAGUCGGCUGUGAAAGUCAGGGGCUCAACCCUUGAAAGCCGGCCGAUACUGUCGGACUAGAGUUCGGAAGAGGCGAGUGGAAUUCCCGGUGUAGCGGUGAAAUGCGCAGAUAUCGGGAGGAACACCAAUGGCGAAGGCAGCUCGCUGGGACGUGACUGACGCUGAGGCGCGAAAGCGUGGGGAGCAAACAGG